rnacentral:rRNA from 1 species
CUACGGGAGGCUGCAGUGAGGAGUUUUGCGCAAUGGGGGAAACCCUGACGCAGCAACGCCGCGUGAGCGAAGAAGGCCUUCGGGUCGUAAAGCUCUGUCAAGUGGGAAAAACGUUUUACGGUGAAUAGCCGUAAGAUCUGAUGGUACCGCUGAAGGAAGCACCGGCUAACUCCGUGCCAGCAGCCGCGGUAAUACGGAGGGGUGCAAGCGUUGUUCGGAAUUAUUGGGCGUAAAGAGCGUGUAGGCGGUUUAGUAAGUCAGAUGUGAAAGCCCUGGGCUUAACCUGGGAAGUGCAUUUGAAACUGCUUUACUGGAGUAUGGGAGAGGAGAGUGGAAUUCCUGGUGUAGAGGUGAAAUUCGUAGAUAUCAGGAGGAACAUCUGUGGCGAAGGCGACUCUCUGGACCAAUACUGACGCUGAGACGCGAAAGCGUGGGUAGCAAACAGGAUUAGAUACCCGGGUAGUC